rnacentral:rRNA from 1 species
AGAGCGAACGCUGGCGGCAGGCCUAACACAUGCAAGUCGAACGGACCCUUCGGGGUUAGUGGCGGACGGGUGAGUAACACGUGGGAACGUGCCUUUUGGUUCGGAAUAGCUCCUGGAAACGGGUGGUAAUGCCGAAUGUGCCCUUCGGGGGAAAGAUUUAUCGCCAUUAGAGCGGCCCGCGUCUGAUUAGCUAGUUGGUGAGGUAAUGGCUCACCAAGGCGACGAUCAGUAGCUGGUCUGAGAGGAUGACCAGCCACAUUGGGACUGAGACACGGCCCAAACUCCUACGGGAGGCAGCAGUGGGGAAUCUUGCGCAAUGGGCGAAAGCCUGACGCAGCCAUGCCGCGUGAAUGAUGAAGGUCUUAGGAUUGUAAAAUUCUUUCACCGGGACGAUAAUGACGGUACCGAGAAGAAGCCCGCUAACUCGCGCCAGCAGCCGC